rnacentral:rRNA from 1 species
GACGAACGCUGGCGGCGUGCUUAACACAUGCAAGUCGAACGGAAAGGCCCUGCUUUUGUGGGGUGCUGGAGUGGGGAACGGGUGGGAAACCCGGGAUUAACCUCCCCUGGCCUUUGGGAUAACUCCAGAAAACUGGGGCAAAUACCGGAAAGAAGCUCUGCCGCCAUGGUGGGGGUUGAAAGUUUUCGGCGGUUGGGGAUGGAUUCGCGGCUUAUCAGCUUGUUGGUGGGGUAGUGGCUUACCAAGGCUUUGACGGGUAGCCGGCCUGAGAGGGUGACCGGCCACAUUGGGACUGAGAUACGGCCCAGACUCCUACGGGAGGCAGCAGUGGGGAAUAUUGCACAAUGGGCGGAAGCCUGAUGCAGCAACGCCGCGUGCGGGAUGACGGCCUUCGGGUUGUAAACCGCUUUCGCCUGUGACGAAGCGUGAGUGACGGUAAUGGGUAAAGAAGCACCGGCUAACUACGUG